ensembl:lncRNA
GAACAAUGUCUAUAGGAACUGAAGUCCAUCCUUGAGAGAGAACAGCCCCCAGAAACAGCCCAGCAGGAGCCUGAAUUCACUGAUCUUUUAGUUCAAGUCUCUGGCUUCCCUCGUGGCUCAGGUGGUAAAGAAUCUGCCUGCAAUUCAGGAGACCGGGGUUCGAUCCCCGGGUCAGUCAGGAAGAUCGCCUGGUAAAGGAAACAGCAACCACUCCAGUAUCCAUGCCUAGAGAAUUCCAUGGAUGGAGGAGCCCUGUGGGCUACGGUCCAUGAGGUCCCAAAGAGUUGGACACGACUGAGCGACUGACACUUUCUCUUUUUACAGACAAACAGAGGUCUCAAGAGCUUAGGUGACCUUUUCACAGGCCUUUAUCAAGUCAGAGAAGAGCCAAAGGCGCCACCGCCGGGCCUUCCUGUGCAGGAGGUCAUUUCAAUGAGGACUCGGAGCUUCGUCAACGGAGAAAAGAAGGUCACUCUCAGACAGGAUGUAGGGAAGACGUCCUGAGUGAGCCUUGCUGGGCAAGAGACGCCGAGGGGACCAAGAAUGUGGGCCAGUCCCCCAGGAAGUUAUUCAUGAGCCUGCACUGCAGGAUAAACAGCCAACCAAAGUCUUUUCUAAACAGCGAAAAUCACAAUGCUCCGAAUUCCAGAAAAUCCUCAAACAAUGGCUGCACAUUCCUUUUCCUCUAUUUGCUUAUUUGUGCACCGAGUGCUUUCAGAUAGACCAGCAACUGGGGUCCUGCCUUGGGCUUCGGGGAGAGAAACAGGCAGGGCGGUGGCCGAGCUCGCUAGCGCUGCCCGUCUUCUCGGAGCGUGUGGGUCUCGCUCCCCACGCCAGCCCCGGAGCUCAGAACCACUCUGCUCCCACGAGCCGGCCCGAAGCCUCUUUAAGCCUCAUCAGCAGUAUGGGGAGCAAAGGCAGGGACAUGCUUCUGUGGUUCAUGUCACCACAAGAUGUAAAUGGGUCAGUUUAGAAAGUUCUUCCUGAGGAAACCAAAAGACUAUUUGGGGAACUAGAAAUUUCCUGUAUAUCCACCUGACUUCAGUUCAGUUCCAAAACUCCUCUGAUAUAUAUAUUUUCAAUUAAAUUAUAACGUACACUUGAUUACAUAUGUACACAUACAUAGAUGUAUAUAAUUAUAAAAUAAUAUCCUGAAUAUUAUUUUAUUGCAGUUGUUCAGUCACUAAGUCAUGUCUGACUCUUUGUGACCCCAUGGACUGCAGCACGCCAGGCUUCUCUGGCCUAUCUCCCUGAGUUUGCUCAAACUCGUGUCCAUUGAGUCAAUGAUGCCAUCCAACCAUCUCAUUCUCUAUCUUCCCCUUCUCCUCUUGCCCUCAAUUUUUCCCAGCAUCAGGGUCUUUUCUAAUGAGUCAACUCUUUGCAG